UGAGUUAUUUGUUCAAUUGUCUAAAGCAGCUAGCAAAAUUGAAAACUGUUGAAGAGGUUUAUUCACUUGUGCAGUCUCUUACUUUCGAAGAACGACCAAAACAAAUUAUCAUUCCCAAAAAAAUGCUAAAUCUUUUUGAGACUCGCUUGGUGGAUUUCCCAAACAUUGGGAUAAAGGCAAGUGAACUCCUCCUGUUUCCGGCUUUUCUUAAGAGAGGGGAAUUCAGUGAUCUCAUAUCAGAAGCCGCCAAACCAAUGAUGGUGCGCUUCUUUGUGUAUGACGAUUGGUUGGAGAGUGUGACUUCGCAAGUGGCUUUCUCAAGACUCAUUCUGAUCCUUCGUCCUCUUCAUGUAAACACUGAGAGGGCAAAUCUGUUGUUGAAGCCCGAAGAGUCUGUUGUCACUGCACCAAAACAUCUCUGGCCCCCCCUUUACCGUAGAUGAAUGGAUGAAGGUAGAGUUUUAUCUGAGUGAUCUCAUUUACCCUGGCUACGUCAAGCAGAGCACUAUUCUCACAAGAUGAAAAGCUCGGUUGCUGUGUUGGGUGGAAUGUGGAAGAAUCUCAAAGCUGGAAUUGUGUACAUAGAGAUGAAAUCAACCUUCAACCUUCAUAUCCAUGCCAACAUACUCAAAUGUCAUUACAAAGGUUUCAUGAAGGCAAUGCUUCUGGAUAUAAAAUUGUAUGUAAUAAACUGAAAAUGAGAAACAGAGUCAAAGGUGGGUUUGGGCG